AGUGAACGCUGGCGGUAGGCCUAACACAUGCAAGUCGAACGGCAGCACAGGAGAGCUUGCUCUCUGGGUGGCGAGUGGCGGACGGGUGAGGAAUACAUCGGAAUCUACUCUGUCGUGGGGGAUAACGUAGGGAAACCUACGCUAAUACCGCAUACGACCUACGGGUGAAAGCAGGGGACCUUCGGGCCUUGCGCGAUUGAAUGAGCCGAUGUCGGAUUAGCUAGUUGGCGGGGUAAAGGCCCACCAAGGCGACGAUCCGUAGCUGGUCUGAGAGGAUGAUCAGCCACACUGGAACUGAGACACGGUCCAGACUCCUACGGGAGGCAGCAGUGGGGAAUAUUGGACAAUGGGCGCAAGCCUGAUCCAGCCAUACCGCGUGGGUGAAGAAGGCCUUCGGGUUGUAAAGCCCUUUUGUUGGGAAAGAGAUCCAGCUGGCUAAUACCCGGUUGGGAUGACGGUACCCAAAGAAUAAGCACCGGCUAACUUCGUGCCAGCCGCCGCGGUAA
rnacentral:rRNA from 1 species